rnacentral:miRNA from 1 species
GCAGCCCGACGGACCGGCU